UAACAUAUGUAAACAUCUUAUCGUUAAACUUACUACAUGUCCUGAUCUCGUGAGUUAGUAACUUUUGAAACCGUACUUUAUAUAAUAAGAUAUA
rnacentral:sRNA from 1 species